AGUCUAGUGGUUAGGACUCCACACUUUCACUGCUGAGGGCCCAGGUUCAAUUCCUGG
rnacentral:tRNA from 1 species